CCGGGGCUGAGUGUUCCGUUAAAGUCAACCGGAGCCCCGCGUCUUCAGCGGGCCGUUUUUCCCGCCGCCAUGAGCCGUCAGCGGAUCUAACGAGCCUGUGGAACCACCGGCCGUCACCAAGUGAUGCUGACUCGAACUUUGACCCUGAAGGACAGUGACGACGGGGGGCGGGGACUCAUGGCUCUGACCCCGCCUCCUGCACUCCCAUUGGCUGAUGAAGAUGAGGAGGAGGAGUCACCCACAGCUCCUCCUGCACCUCCCUGGACGUCCUCCUCUCCUCCCUUUG